rnacentral:rRNA from 1 species
GACGAACGCUGGCGGCGUGCCUAAUACAUACAAGUCGAACGAGAGCGACCGGUGCUUGCACUGGUCAAUCUAGUGGCGAACGGGUGAGUAACACGUGGGUAACCUGCCCAUCAGAGGGGGAUAACAUCCGGAAACGGAUGCUAAAACCGCAUAGGUCUUCGAACCGCAUGGUUUGAAGAGGAAAAGAGGCGCAAGCUUCUGCUGAUGGAUGGACCCGCGGUGCAUUAGCUAGUUGGUGAGGUAACGGCUCACCAAGGCCGUGAUGCAUAGCCGACCUGAGAGGGUGAUCGGCCACAUUGGGACUGAGACACGGCCCAAACUCCUACGGGAGGCAGCAGUAGGGAAUCUUCCGCAAUGGACGCAAGUCUGACGGAGCAACGCCGCGUGAGUGAAGAAGGUUUUCGACGUAAAACUCUGUUGUUAGAGAAGAACAAGUGCUAGAGUAACUGUUAGCGCCUUGACGGUAUCU